rnacentral:tRNA from 1 species
GUCAGGAUGGCCGAGUGAUCUAAGGCGCUGCGUUCAGGUCGCAGUCCAGUUGUCUGGGCGGAGGGUUCAAAUCCCUCUUCUGACA